GUCUUCGUGGUGUAACGGUAACACACUCGGCGCGUAUUCGAGAGAUCCAGGUUCGAGUCCCGGCGAGGGCA
rnacentral:tRNA from 1 species